rnacentral:rRNA from 1 species
UACGUAGGGGGCAAGCGUUGUUCGGAAUUACUGGGCGUAAAGGGCGCGUAGGCGGCACGGCAAGUCGGGAGUGAAAGCCCGGGGCUCAACCCUGGAGGGUCUUCCGAAACUGCCGGGCUAGAGUGCGGAAGAGGCAACCGGAAUUCCCAGUGUAGCGGUGAAAUGCGUAGAUAUUGGGAAGAACACCAGUGGCGAAGGCGGCUAACUGGUCCAGAUCUGACGCUGAGGUGCGAAAGCGUGGGGAGCAAACAGG